rnacentral:rRNA from 1 species
GACGAACGCUGGCGGCGUGCUUAACACAUGCAAGUCGAACGGAAAGGCCCUGCUUUUGUGGGGUGCUCGAGUGGCGAACGGGUGAGUAACACGUGAGUAACCUGCCCUUUACUUUGGUAUAACUUCAGGAAACUGUGUCUAAUACCGGAUAGGAGCUCCUUCUGCAUGGUGGUGGUUGGAAAUUUUCGUCGGUUGGGGAUGGACUCGCGGCUUAUCAGCUUGUGGGGGGGUUAGUGGCUUACAAAGGCUUUGACGGGUAGCCGGCCUGAGAGGGUGACCGGCAAAUUUGGGACUGGGGUACGGCCAAGACUCCUCCGGGAGGCAGACGUGGGGAAAAUUCCACAAGGGGCGGAGGCAUGAUGAAGUAACCCCGCGUGCGGUAUAACGGCCUUCGGGUUGUAAACCGUUUUCGCAUGUGACGAACCGUGAGUGACGGUAAUGGGUAAAGAAGCACCGGCUAACUACGUG